rfam:Felis catus isolate Cinnamon breed Abyssinian chromosome X, whole genome shotgun sequence.
GCCUGGGUGGCUCAGUCGGUUAAGCGUCCGACUUCGGCUCAGGUCAUGAUCUCAUGGUCCGUGGGUUCGAGCCCCGCAUCGGGCU